rnacentral:rRNA from 1 species
AUUGAACGCUGGCGGCGUGCCUAAUACAUGCAAGUCGAGCGAACAGACGAGGAGCUUGCUCCUCUGACGUUAGCGGCGGACGGGUGAGUAACACGUGGAUAACCUACCUAUAAGACUGGGAUAACUUCGGGAAACCGGAGCUAAUACCGGAUAAUAUAUUGAACCGCAUGGUUCAAUAGUGAAAGACGGUUUUGCUGUCACUUAUAGAUGGAUCCGCGCCGCAUUAGCUAGUUGGUAAGGUAACGGCUUACCAAGGCAACGAUGCGUAGCCGACCUGAGAGGGUGAUCGGCCACACUGAGACUGAGACACGGUCCAGACUCCUACGGGAGGCAGCAGUAGGGAAUCUUCCGCAAUGGGCGAAAGCCUGACGGAGCAACGCCGCGUGAGUGAUGAAGGUCUUCGGAUCGUAAAACUCUGUUAUUAGGGAAGAACAAAUGUGUAAGUAACUAUGCACGUCUUGACGGUACCUAAUCAGAAAGCCACGGCUAACUACGUGCCAGCAGCCGCCGUAACAC